AAUGAGGAAAAAAAGUUUUGUUGUUAUAUUAAUUCAAUUGAUGUAUAAUUUUGAAUGUACAAAUAAACCUACAAAUGACAAAAUGAUCAAUUAGCCCUGAUUUGUUUUUGUUAGAGAAAAUGAAGAGAUAUAUUACCUGGAUAUAAUACUUUGUUGAAUAAUGGGAGGAAGGAGUAAGAGAGACUUAUUGAGAAAUUCAAGCUUUGAUUUAUGGUUGAUGCUAAAAGCCUUCAAGUACACGGGUAUUUAUAGAUACUAUUACUACCACUACUACUACUACAACUACUAUUACUGUUGUUGCUACUACUGUUGCUAUUAUUACUGUUGCUAUUGUUAUUAUUGCUAGUACUGCUGCUACUACUACUACUACUGUUAUUACUACUACUGCUGCUGUUAUUACUACUACUACUACUGUUGAUGCUGUUACUACUGCUGCUACUGCUAUUACUG
rnacentral:lncRNA from 1 species